rnacentral:rRNA from 1 species
GUGCUCCCCCGCCAAUUCCUUUAAGUUUCAAUCUUGCGAUCAUACUCCCCAGGCGGCAGGCUUAACAGCUUCCCUGCGGCACUAGAACGGCACGUGGCCGUCCAAACACCUAGCCUGCAUCGUUUACAGCUGGGGCUACCCGGGUAUCUAAUCCGGUUCGCUCCCCCAGCUUUCAUCCCUCACCGUCGGGCGCGUUCUAGCAGACAGCCUUCGCCACUGGUGGUCUUCCCGGGAUUAUAGGAUUUCACCCCUACCCCGGAAAUACCGUCUGCCUCUCUCGUCCCCUAGCCAAGCAGUAUCCCCCGCAAUCCAACGAUUAAUUCGGUGGAUUUAACAAGGGACCAACUUAGCCAGCUACGGAUGCUUUAGGCCCAAUAAACAUCCACACCACUCGGAGAGCUGGUAUUACCGCGGCGGCUGACACCAGACUUGCCCUCUCCUUAUUCCCCCAGCGUUCUAGACUGGGUAAAAGCCUUCCUCAGCGGAUGGCACUCGGGAUAGCCCUGUCACACUUUCGUGUAUUGCAAAGUUUUCGCGACUGCUGCGCCCCGUAGGGCCUGGGCCCUUGUCUCAGUGCCCAUCUCCGGGCUCCCGCUCUCACGGCCCGCACCGGUAAAAGGCUUGGUGAGCCAUUACCUCACCAACAACCUGAUCGGUCGCGGCCUCAUCCUUGGGCGACGCCUACGAGCAUAACGUAAACGUCUUUUUAGCAAAGACUCAUUCCAGAGUUCUUCACCUAUCGAGAAUUAGCCCCAGUUUCCCGGGGGUGUUCCCGGUCCCAAGGCAGAUUAGCCACGUGUUACUGAGCCGU